GACGAACGCUGGCGGCGUGCCUAAUACAUGAAAGUCGAGCGAAUCAAUAGGAGCUUGCUCCUGUUGGUUAGCGGCGGACGGGUGAGUAACACGUGGGCAACCUGCCUGUAAGACUGGGAUAACUUCGGGAAACCGGAGCUAAUACCGGAUAAUCCUUUUCCACUCAUGUGGGAAAGCUGAAAGUCGGUUUCGGCUGACACUUACAGAUGGGCCCGCGGCGCAUUAGCUAGUUGGUGAGGUAACGGCUCACCAAGGCGACGAUGCGUAGCCGACCUGAGGGGGUGAUCGGCCACACUGGGACUGAGACACGGCCCAGACUCCUACGGGAGGCGGCAGUAGGGAAUCUUCCGCAAUGGACGAAAGUCUGACGGAGCAACGCCGCGUGAGCGAUGAAGGCCUUCGGGUCGUAAAGCUCUGUUGUUAGGGAAGAAUAAGUAUCGGAGUAACUGCCGGUACCUUGACGGUACCUAACCAGAAAGCCACGGCUAACUACGUGCCAGCAGCCGCCGUAA
rnacentral:rRNA from 1 species